CACCCGUUCCCAUACCGAACACGGAAGUUAAGCUCUCUAGCGCCGAUGGUAGUUGGGACCUUGUCCCUGUGAGAGUAGGACGUCGCCAAGC
rnacentral:rRNA from 17 species